rnacentral:tRNA from 1 species
GGGCCCGUAGCUCAGUUGGUCAGAGCAACUGACUCAUAAUCAGUUGGUCGUCCGUUCGACCCGGACCGGGCCCA